GGAAACUCGGAUGGUGCUUCUACACCACAGGUCGGCCGGGCUUUCCCAGGAGCGCUGUGGAGUCACGUCCUAAGCGUUGAUGAAGCACCCGCAGGAGCCAGGCACCGCCUGGAGUUAGAGUUACAAACACCCGGAAGACUCGGUUCCUGAUGGCGAGGUGCUCCUUGUGUUGCUGGGGGAGGAGCGCUGGGAUGAGGAGACAGUCACAAGGCAUUUCUAACCUUAGGUGGAAGUUUGAAGAAAGGUGUGCCUGCUCAGAGGAAGGAGGACCUGACUGGAAGAGAAGAGAGGUCUUCAACCAGCUCCUGGCAGAUUCAGCUGGGUGUCCUGUAUUUCAUCUAACAACCAUAUCCUGGAGAGAACAAUGAAUCUGCCUGCUGCGGUAGAGGCUGAGGAUGGUGAAGAAGACAGCGGAAUGAUUAGGAAGGAUUUUGAAUGCCAAGUGGAGGAGUUUGAACUUCAUCUGAUAUCAGACGCAUGCUGGAGAGCUAGUGGGUUUUUGGCUAGGGAAUGACAGGGUCAGAUUCAUUUUGAGCAAUUUCCAGUUUUCUUUAACCAGUGCACCUGAGCAAGAGCACAUUAUCGUCACAAAGUAGCCUGCCACACUCUCAUUCACAGACACAUCAGCCACUUCUACCUGCUUUGCAGGUGAAAAACUGGCUAUUCCUGCCCAGGAACAUUAAGAGACUGUUUAUUUCAAUCAAUCAUUUUUCUAAAUACAUUAUCUCAUUCUAUAGCUGAAAAGUGGGAGGGGAGCAACAUCAAAGGAUUUACUUCAGCCCCAUCUAAGAAACCAAACACAUGCACCCCUUGUUCACCCUCCUCUGGUUGUCGCCCGUGGACCCAGAAGUCUCAGGCAUCUGACGCUCUGAAUGUCUGCCCAGAUGCCCAUCUCUGGAGAGAACAUGCUGAAAUGUUUGAGUUUGCACAGUUCAUUAAAUACCCUUCAGAAGAGCUCCCUGAUUCUCACAAAGGUCACCUUGGUUUCUUCUAGAGUCUGCAAAAUUCCUUUCUUUGGAGACGUUUUCUGUGUGAUGUCUACACAGGAAGAAGCUGACAGCAGUAGCUUGAAGAACCCAGUGACAGUCGCGGGGAGAGCAUUUGGCAAAAAACUGAUCACAAGAACUCUGUUCUCUGAAUCUGAUUUCAGUGAAAACACAGAGAAUAACUUUAAAUAGUCCGAUCAAGUUGAUACAAAAAUGGUGUUUAGAAACUGUUUGGACUGAUGGGAAAGAUAAAAACUAUGUGUGAAAAGACCAGAACGAGAUGAUAGGAAAAGCACUGCAUUAAGAAUCAACACAUCUAUUCCCUGAUCUUAGUUUUAGGGCUUUCAAAAUUGAGAUGUAAUUGACAUAUAACAUUGUAUCAGUUUCAAGUGUACAACGUAAUGAUUCAUUGUUUGUAUAUAUUGCAAAAUCAUCACACAAUAAGUCUAGUUAAUGACCAUCACCACACGUAGUUACACAUUUCUUGUUGUUGUGAUGAGAACUUUUAAGAUCUGUUCUCUCAGCAACUUCCAAAUAUCCAACAUGGUAUUGUUAAGUAUAGUCACCAUGCUGUGCAUGACAUCCCAAGCACUUAUUUAUCUUGUAACUGGAAGUUUGUACCUUUUGACCCCCCUUCGCCCGUUUUGACCACCCCACACCCCUGCCUAUGGUAACCACCCAUCUGUUCUCUGCAUCUAUGAGUCUGGUUUUUUGUUUGGGUUUUUUUUUUGGUUUGGUUUGGUUAAGUUUCACAUGUGAGAUCAUACCGUAUUUGUCUUUCUCUGUCUGACAUAUUUCACUGAGCAUAAUGCCCUCAAGGCCCAAUGAAAAAUUCUUUUCUUCUCCCUCUGUUUUUCAGGAACCCUUAUAAAGUAAAAGAAGGGAAUUGGAAAUUAUUGUUUCCAAUAUUUCUUCCUGUUUGGGGAUUCUAAGUAUUUAUAGUUGACUGGAACUUGGAAAUGAGCAUAAUAAAAGGAAUAUGGGACUUCUGUUUGCAUUUAAGACAAAUUUUGGCAUCUGACAUUAAAACUAAUUGAUUCAUUUAUCCAACAGAAAGUUAUCGACCACCUACGUGUGUCAAGUCCUCUCUUUGGCAGC
ensembl:lncRNA